rnacentral:rRNA from 1 species
UACGUAGGGGGCAAGCGUUGUCCGGAAUCAUUGGGCGUAAAGAGCGUGUAGGCGGCCUGGCAAGUGGAAGGUGAAAUCCCUCGGCUUAACCGAGGAACUGCCCUCCAAACUGCUUUGCUUGAGGCCGGGAGAGGUGAGUGGAAUUCCCAGUGUAGCGGUGAAAUGCGUAGAUAUCCGGAGGAACACCGGUGGCGAAGGCGGCUUCCUGGACCGACACUGACGCUGAGGCGCGAAAGCUAGGGGAGCAAACGGG